rnacentral:rRNA from 1 species
UACCUACGGGACGCAGCAGUCGGGAAUAUUGCGCAAUGGAGGAAACUCUGACGCAGUGACGCCGCGUAUAGGAAGAAGGUUUUCGGAUUGUAAACUAUUUUCCACAGGGAAGAAAAAAGACUGUACCUGUGAAGAAAGCUCCGGCUAACUACGUGCCAGCAGCCGCGGUAAUACGUAGGGAGCAAGCGUUAUCCGGAUUUAUUGGGUUUAAAGGGUGCGUAGGCGGGUUAUCAAGUCAGCGGUAAAAUCGUGGAGCUCAACUCCAUCCAGCCGUUGAAACUGAUGAUCUUGAGUGGGCGAGAAGU